GGGAUGAAUAACAACAACACUUUGUGAGCAGGAGGGAAAGCUGGACUGCAAUGGAGGAAGAUCUACAGACAGAAAGAGAGGUUACAGACCUUCCAGUUACUGGAGUUCUUCAAGGCUCUAAGCUGCUAAUAGCUUUGAAUCCAAAAGCAAGCCAAAAAGCCUCUGUGUAAAUGCAAAUUACCUAGCUGAUGGGGGAAGAAAAAAACUGCCCAUAAGUAGCAGCACAAAAAAGCUGCAAAUAAUAAAUACAUCUGGUCAACAAACAAGCUACUAGAAGACUCAGAUUAUGGCCCUCCAGAAAAGGAAGGUGAAAAAACAAGUCAAGCCUGAAAAUGAGGGGGACAAGUUAACCCUAAGGCACUCUACAAGCAAGCUGGCGCCAGCGAAAAAAUAACCCAAAAUACCAGAAAUCUAUGUUUUGUGUUGUUUGUCUGUGGUGUUUGUCUUGUUGCUAGCAUUGUUGUGUUGCAAUAAACAAAAACCCUUAUGACGUGGGUGGGGAUGGCUUCAAAAGGCUGACCUGGGGGGAAAAUGUGUAUAAAAAUGCAAAAUGCUCAAUUAAAAGCCCAGCACCUGUGUAAUAGCACCGUGGUACCUAAAAAUGGAACAGCAACUAAGGUGCUCUCCACAAGCCCUAUGAAAAUAAUAAAAAGGGGAGGAGCUCACAGGGAAUCAAUGGAGGGGUGUGUAAAAUGGUGUAAAUAAAAAAAAUGUGUAAAUGUGCCCCUCUCCUAUAACUAUGAAGAAGCAGAAUCAGUGGCCUGUGGCAAAGGGUGAACAAUUGGGUGUAUUAUGUAUAAGGUGUUUUGCUGGGAAUG